GGUCGUUGGGGGUGGUUAGGGGUGGUUGCGGGUAAUCAAGGUGAUUCCGGAGAAGGGAGACGGUGAUUUGUGCUCGGUAUACCCGUGGUGGUUAUCGGUGGUUGUUGGAGGUGAUUGGCGGUGGUUGAAGGUGUUCGGAGUUGGACGAGGAGAAGGACGAGGAAGACAAGGAGGUGAAGGUGGACGAGGAUUUGUGCUCUGUAUAACCCGAGGUGGUUGGAGGUGGUCGGAGGUGGAUGAGGUGGACCAGGAGGAG